UACGUAGGGGGCAAGCGUUGUCCGGAAUUACUGGGCGUAAAGCGUGCGCAGGCGGCUUUGCAAGACAGAUGUGAAAUCCCCGGGCUUAACCUGGGAACUGCAUUUGUGACUGCAUGGCUAGAGUGCGGCAGAGGGGGAUGGAAUUCCGCGUGUAGCAGUGAAAUGCGUAGAUAUGCGGAGGAACACCGAUGGCGCAGGCAAUCCCCUGGGCCUGCACUGACGCUCAUGCACGAAAGCGUGGGGAGCAAACAGG
rnacentral:rRNA from 1 species